AGAGUUUGAUCCUGGCUCAGGACGAACGCUGGCGGCGUGCCUAACACAUGCAAGUCGAGCGAUGAAACCUUUCGGGGUGGAUUAGCGGCGGACGGGUGAGUAACACGUGGGUAACCUACCUCAAAGAGGGGGAUAGCCUCCCGAAAGGGAGAUUAAUACCGCAUAACAUUAGUUUUUCGCAUGAAGAACUAAUUAAAGGAGUAAUCCGCUUUGAGAUGGACCCGCGGCGCAUUAGCUAGUUGGUGAGGUAAAGGCUCACCAAGGCGACGAUGCGUAGCCGACCUGAGAGGGUGAUCGGCCACAUUGGAACUGAGAUACGGUCCAGACUCCUACGGGAGGCAGCAGUGG
rnacentral:rRNA from 1 species